UUAAAGGCAGUGCUUUAAUGCCUUUCUAGUUGCCGGGUUAAUCCUUCCUUCCGCGAUAUCCAACUUAUCUACGUGGGGGGUCAUUAAACUCUAAGUAGAUCCGGAAAUGUUGAAUUCUCUCCUCUUCUUAUUGCGAUAUAAAAUGUUUUUUGUUUCAUUUCAUUUACAUUGGGAAAUAGAGAAACGAUCAUUGUGUUUUGUUAGUUUUAAAAACUUUUGAUAUAUUAGUAUUUUGCAUUAUAAGCAGUCAACCGAUUGACAAACUAGAAUUAUUUGAAUUCCGUGUGGAAAGAGCUCGGGUUAAUUUCGAGUGUUAUCUGCAAUCUAGAUGUUUAUAAAUCAUUUCAGUCGUUGAUAUAAUAAUUAAAGGUCGACUGAACCAUGUGAACAUGAAUUAUAUUAUACAAUUUAAAGCGCAUUUCUGUUUAUGCACGUGAACCCGUCUAACGUUAUUUUCGCAGUUAUAUAAAGUAGCAAAUUAUCGUUCCUGAAUAGGUGGCGCCGUGGUAGCGGAUCCUGUUCCUCUUCUUCCGGUUUCUGCACUGUGCAACUAUUUCAGUUAUAUUUUUAAUUAAUGAUGCCAAGUACUUGUUGUUGUGUACCUGGAUGUCAUUUAAGAGGAGGACAUGCAUUUCCAAAUGACUUAAAAAGAAGGAAAAGUUGGAUCAACGCCAUGGCCCAUACGCAGAUUGGACGAGAACACGAUGAUAUCGUGGAGUCCAUCUCAAUCAGCUGUUGUUUGCAAGGCACGUUUUACUGAAAAAGACUACGUGCAGGAAACUAUUCAUGGGCGCAAACCCACCAUACAGAGACUUAAGUCUACUGCAAUUCCCAGCCUAUUUUCCUGGACCAAGCAAGAAACUGAAUCGUCCGCAAAAAGAAAAAUCAGGGCAGUUUCCUAUGAAAACAAAAGAACUAAACUUGAUGAAUAUUGUAGUAGAAAUCUAGAGGAAAGUUUUGAUUGUAAAGUUGGUUUUCCUGAAGAAGUCAUUCAUACUGCAGAAAGGAUUUAUGACUGUCCACCACCAACUGCCGAGCUAAUGUUGAGCUUCACAGAUGGAAUUACGCAAACACCAUCAAUGCCUAUGUUUUUAACAGAGAAUUUUGAAAUGAAGACACGUGACACAGCCAUGCAUUUUUAUACCGGUUUAGAGUUGUAUACUAAAUUUUUAUUUGUUUUGACCACACUUGGUCCAGCAGCACAUUGUUUGAGAUGCAUAUAUUUUCAAAUUGAUAGGGUGUCAGUUGAAAAUCAGUUUUUUUAUGACUUUGAUGAAAUUGAGGCAUCAUACAACCAACUUUGAACUGUCUAGAUUCUAGAUUGAAUCUAGUGUUAAGAAUAUUGUGUAUACAUGGAUUGUUUUUAUGUCUAAACAGUGGUGUGAGGCUAACACUUGGCCAUCUAGUGGUUGAGUCAGGUAUUUUUCACCAUCCAACUUCAAAUUAAAGUUUCCUACGACUUGGAUUAUUAUUGACAGCACAGAAUAUCCCGUGAUAAAACCUAAAGCUCCUAGAGCUCAGGCAACCUUUUCAUCAAAUAAAAACAGAAACACUGAAAAUUCUUGAAUGUUCGACACCUGGUGGUUUAGUCAACUAUGUCUCUAUGUCACAUAGAGCGAAUUAUUGGACUUGGCAAAACAUACAAAAUUCUAAUAAAUCCUAUGAAUGGAACUGAAACAAAACUUUCAUCUGAAAUAACAUUUAGUUGUUUUAUGUUGUGUAAUUUGGACUUAGCAAAACAUACAAAAUUCUAAUAAAUCCUAUGAAUGGAACUGAAACAAAACUUUCAUCUGAAAUAACAUUUAGUUGUUUUAUUUUGUGUAAUUUUAGAACUUGUAUUGUGCCAAAGGAUGCAUAAAUAAAAGUGACGCAAUGAAUUUUGUUCUGAUAUAUAUAUAUUUACAAUUACAUGCACAUGUAAAUUGUAAUGCAUAUAAAAAUAAGGAGAUGUGGUAUGAUAUUCAGUGAGUUUAUCAAACUAAAGUGCAUAAGAAAUGGGUUUAAGCAGUUACAGGUGUUACUGUCACCGUACAAUCUCCAACAAUGAGAAAAACUCGUGACCUGUAAAAAAUUUCAGAGAUCUUACAACUAAGUUUUGUUGUCUCACCUUGACUUUGGUGAAUUUUUUAUAUCUGUUGAUGUAAAUAUAAAAAAGAAGAUGUGGUAUGAUUGCCAAUGAGACAACUCUCCACACAUGCACAAGAGACCAAAUGACACAGAAAUUAACAGCUAUAGGUCACAGUACGGCCUUCAACAAUGAGCAAAGCCCAUACCGCACAGUCAGCUUUAAAAGGCCCAGAAAUGACAAUGUAAAACAAUUCAAACAAGAAAACUAACGGCCUAUUUUAUGUAAAAAAAUGAACAAAUAUAACAAAUAUGCAACACAUAAACAAACGACAACCACUGAAUUACACUUUUAUAGGCUUCUGACUUGGGACAUGCACAUACAUGUACAUACAGAAUGUGGCGGGCUUAAACAUGUUAGCGGGAUCCCAACCCUCCCCCUAACCUGGGACAGUGGUGUAACAGUACAAUAUAAGAAAGAACUAUAAAAAUCAGUUGAAAGAGGCUAAACUCAUCAGAUGGAUAAAUACAAAUACAAGUGGACGUGGUCGGGUAGUUGUACAUCCAAACAACAAAAAGACACUAAGUACAAAUCUGAGAGUACUCGCAGUUACUGACAGCUAGUUCAAAGCCACUAACAACUGAUAAAAAAAUCUUGCAUCUAAGACUAAAUUAUCAAUCCGUAAGCUCCCUUUAGAAUUUUAUAAAUUUUAGAUUUUACAUUUCUGAGUUAUGGGGUUUUAUUCAUUAAAAAAGGGGGGAUUUUCCAGUUUUUGGACAACAACUCAAAAAUGCUUUAAGCAGAUCACAUGAAACUUUGGUGAAUUAUUUAUAGCUAUUGAUGUAAUCUCCCUAUUGAUUUUCAUAAAUUUCAAAUAUGACAUUGAGAAGAAAUUGAACUUUAUUUGUUUAUAGUCUGGCAACAGAUUUAUUAAGUAUUGCACAACAGCACAGUGUAUUGCACAACAGCACAGUGUAUUGCACAACAGCAAGAAAUCUUUAAUUGAAUAUAAAUUCAAUUCAUAUAACCGAUUUCAAGUUCAUUGACUACAUUUAUUCAGAAACUAUAAUAUGUCAAAUAUUUAAUUACAAUCCAAAUUCAGACCUGUAUCAAGCUUGAAUAUUGUGUCCAUUUUUGCCCCAGCUGUUCAGGGUAGUACCUCUGUGGGUGUAUCCAGCUGCGCUCAGCUAAUCAGUUUAUUUCUUAAUUAAGAACUCCUUUUUAUACGAAUGCAAAAAAAUUUUUGUGGUCGUAUAUUGGUAUGAUGUUGGCGUCGUCGUCCGAAGACACAUUAGUUUUCGCAUUCUAACUUUAGUUUAAGUGAAUGGAUCUCAAUGAAAUUUUAAAAUAAGGUUCAAUACCACAAAAGGAAAGUGGGGAUUGAUUUUGGGGGUUAUGGUACCAACAGUUAAGGAAUUAGGGGCCAAAAAGGGGCCAAAAAUAAGCAUUUUUGUAACUUCCAGACAUAACUUGUGUGUAAGUGUAUGGAUCUCUCUGACAUUGUACCACAAGGUUCCAUAUCACAAAAGGAAUGCUGGGAUUGAAUUUGGGGGUAAUUGCCUCCAAAUUUUAGGAAUUAGGGGCCUAAAAGGGGCAAAAAACAAGCAUUUUUCUAGUUUCAUGGCAAUAACUUGUGUGUAAGUGUAUGGAUCUUUAUGAAAUUGUACUACAAGGUUCCAUAUCACAAAGGGAAAGCUGGAAUUGAGUUUGGGGGUAAUUGCCCAAAAAGUUUAGGAAUAAGGGGCCAAAAAUAAGCAUUUUUCUAGUUUCCAGACAAUAACUUGUGUUCAAGUGUAUGGAUCUCUCUGAAAUUGUACUGCAAGGUACCAUACCACAAGGAAUGCUGGGAUUGAUUUUGGGGGUAAUUGCCUCCAAAUUUUAGGAAUUAGGGGCCAAAAAGGGGCAAAAAACAAGCAUUUUUCUAGUUUCAUGACACUAACUUGUGUGUAAGUCUAUGGAUCUCUCUGACAUUGUAUCACAUGGUUCCAUAUCACAAAGGGAAUGCUGGGAUUGAUUUUGGGGGUAAUUGCCUCCAAAUUUUAGGAAUUAGGGGCCAAAAAGGGGCAAAAAACAAGCAUUUUUCUAGUUUCAUGGCAAUAACUUGUGUGUAAGUGUAUGGAUCUUUAUGAAAUUGUACUACAAGGUUCAAUAUCACAAAGGGAAAGCUGAGUUUGAGUUUGGGGGUAAUUGCCCUAAACGUUUAGGUAUUUGGGACCAAAAAGGGGCAAAAAAACAAGCAUUUUUCUAGUUUCCAGACAAUAACAUGUGUUCAAGUGUAUGGAUCUCUCUGAAAUUGUACCGCAAGGUACCAUACCACAAAGGGAAGGCUGGGAUUGAGUUUUGGGGUGAUGAAUCAUAAGGGGGUUCAAAAAAUUUGGGGGGGGGAUUCUUUUUCCUUUUUUUUCUUAAAAAUUUUCCAUUUUAAAUUGGUUAUUUCUGAUUUAUAUAUAAAAGCAAAUAAUAAUGAUAUGGUUUGAAUAGGUAAAUUAAAUUUUUUUAAGUAUCUUAGACCACUUUCAUUCUGUGUCAGAAACCUAUGCUGUGUCAAAUAUUUAAUUACAAUCCAAAUUCAGUGCUGAAUCAAGCUUGAAUGUUGUGUUCAUAUUAUUUCAUUCAUAAAUUACUUUAUGCUUGGAAAUAUAAUUUUGCUUAGAGUUGAAAGAGUUGACAUGUUGCAAUGUACAUUUACUCUACAUAGUUCUAUGGUACCAAAUCAAAAGUUUAUAUAAAGAAAGAAGUCAAAGGUUUCCCAUCAUAGUUUAGUUACAUACAUUUUUUUUGUACCUGAGGUCGUUGAAUAUAGAUCAUUAUAUAAAUAAGGAGAUGUGUUAUGAUUGCCAAUGAAAAAACUAAGGAUUUUCUUAUCCAAGGAAUAGAUUACCUUAGCCGUAUUUGGCACAACUUUUUGGAAUUUUGGGUCCUCAAUGCUCUUCAACUUUGUACUCGUUUGGCUUUGUUACUAUUUUGAUCUGAACGUCACUGAUGAGUCUUAUGUAGACGAAACACACGUCUGGCGUAUUAAAUUAUAAUCCUGGUACCUUUGAUAACUAAUUUGACUAUAAACAUAGAUAAAAAAGGUACAAACUGGACAUAAUGCACUAGUUCAUAAACAAGUGAGAACAAUCGCCUUCAUAUAGUGCUCAGAAUAUGACAUUCAUAAAACUUAUUCAAUAUCAUUAGAGAACUCUAAAUCUUAAAUACUGAAAGCCACCUCUGAUAAGUACACUGUACUAUGCAAGAUAAUGAUGUAACUAGACUUAAAAUACACACAACCUGUAAUUAACUGCCUUUACAGCGCUUUCGUGCUUUG